UCUGUCGUGAANUCCUCUGGCUUAACUGGGGGCUUGCGGUGGGUACGGGCCGGCUUGAGUGCGGUAGGGGAGACAGGAACUCCUGGUGUAGCGGUGGAAUGCGCAGAUAUCAGGAAGAACACCGGUGGCGAAGGCGGGUCUCUGGGCCGUUACUGACGCUGAGGAGCGAAAGCGUGGGGAGCGAACAGGAUUAGAUACCCUGGUAGUNCACGCCGUAAACGUUGGGCACUAGGUGUGGGGGGCCUUUUCCGGGUCUUCCGCGCCGUAGCUAACGCAUUAAGUGCCCCGCCUGGGGAGUACGGCCGCAAGGCUAAAACUCAAAGGAAUUGACGGGGGCCCGCACAAGCGGCGGAGCAUGCGGAUUAAUUCGAUGCAACGCGAAGAACCUUACCAAGGCUUGACAUGUGCCGGUCGGCUCCGGAGACGGGGCUUCCUCCUUGUGGGGCCGGUUCACAGGUGGUGCAUGGUUGUCGUCAGCUCGUGUCGUGAGAUGUUGGGUUAAGUCCCGCAACGAGCGCAACCCUUGUCCCGUGUUGCCAGCACGUUGUGGUGGGGACUCGCGGGAGACUGCCGGGGUCAACUCGGAGGAAGGUGGGGAUGACGUCAAAUCAUCAUGCCCCUUAUGUCUUGGGCUUCACGCAUGCUACAAUGGCCGGUACAGAGGGCUGCGAUACCGUGAGGUGGAGCGUAUCCCUUAAAGCCGGUCUCAGUUCGGAUCGGUGUCUGCAACUCGACACCGUGAAGUUGGAGUCGCUAGUAAUCGCAGAUCAGCAACGCUGCGGUGAAUACGUUCUCGGGCCUUGUACACACCGCCCGUCACGUCAUGAAAGUCGGCAACACCCGAAGCCCGUGGCCCUACG
rnacentral:rRNA from 1 species